CAGUCGAACGAGCGAGAGAGAGCUUGCUUUCUCAAGCGAGUGGCGAACGGGUGAGUAACGCGUGAGGAACCUGCCUCAAAGAGGGGGACAACAGUUGGAAACGACUGCUAAUACCGCAUAAGCCCACGGGUCGGCAUCGACCAGAGGGAAAAGGAGCAAUCCGCUUUGAGAUGGCCUCGCGUCCGAUUAGCUAGUUGGUGAGGUAACGGCCCACCAAGGCGACGAUCGGUAGCCGGACUGAGAGGUUGAACGGCCACAUUGGGACUGAGACACGGCCCAGACUCCUACGGGAGGCAGCAGUGGGGAAUAUUGCACAAUGGGGGAAACCUUGAUGCAGCGACGCCGCGUGGAGGAAGAAGGUCUUCGGAUUGUAAACUCCUGUUGUUGAGGAAGAUAAUGACGGUACUCAACAAGGAAGUGACGGCUAACUACGUGCCAGCAGCCGCGGUAAAACGUAGGUCACAAGCGUUGUCCGGAAUUACUGGGUGUAAAGGGAGCGCAGGCGGGAAGACAAGUUGGAAGUGAAAUCUAUGGGCUCAACCCAUAAACUGCUUUCAAAACUGUUUUUCUUGAGUAGUGCAGAGGUAGGCGGAAUUCCCGGUGUAGCGGUGGAAUGCGUAGAUAUCGGGAGGAACACCAGUGGCGAAGGCGGCCUACUGGGCACCAACUGACGCUGAGGCUCGAAAGUGUGGGUAGCAAACAGGAUUAGAUACCCUGGUAGUCCACACCGUAAACGAUGAUUACUAGGUGUUGGAGGAUUGACCCCUUCAGUGCCGCAGUUAACACAAUAAGUAAUCCACCUGGGGAGUACG
rnacentral:rRNA from 1 species